rnacentral:lncRNA from 1 species
UUGAGUUCGCAAUCCAAUUGCAUUUUUCGUUGUUAAGAACUGCACAAGAUGUAUUCAUGAGGCAAUCCAAUGAUUGUUAGCUUAUAUAAUUAGAAUUUCAAUGACUUUCUAAAUUAGUUAGAUCUUUUUACUUUCUAUAUUAUGACUCUACUUCAAUCCCUCAUCUUAAAUUUGGCUAUACUUAUCGCCAGUUGCUUAGGCAAUACA